rnacentral:rRNA from 1 species
GAUGAACGCUGGCGGCGUGCCUAAUACAUGCAAGUCGAGCGAACAGAUAAGGAGCUUGCUCCUUUGACGUUAGCGGCGGACGGGUGAGUAACACGUGUGUAACCUACCUAUAAGACUGGGAUAACUUCGGGAAACCGGAGCUUAUACCGUAUAAUAUUUCGAACCGCAUGGUUCGAUAGUGGAAGAUGGUUUUGCUAUCACUUAUAGAUGGACCCGCGCCGUAUUAGCUAGUUGGUAAGGUAACGGCUCACCAAGGCGACGAUACGUAGCCGACCUGAGAGGGUGGUAGGCCACACUGGAGGGGAGACACGGACAAGAGUCCUGAGGGAGGCAGCAGUAGGGAAUCGUACGCAAUGGGCGAAAGCAUGACGGAGCAAGGCGAAGUGAGUGAUGAAGGUCUUCGGAGCGUAAAACUCUGUUAUUAGGGAAGAACAUAUGUGUAAGUAACUGUGCACGGCUUGACGGUAACUAAUCAGAAAGCAACGGCUAACUACGUG